GAGAGAGAGAGAGAGAGAGAGAGAGAGAGACAGAGGCAGAGACACAGACACAGACACAGACACAGACAGAAAGCCUGAGAGAAGGUGGACGGACCCAGCAGCCGCAGCCCAGCUCCUCCCGGACCGGGCACCCUGCCGACGGCCCUGACUUCCCGGGCCACCCCAGGGCUGUCAGACUACUGAAAAUCAUCUAGACCUUCAUCCACAGGAAGGAUCUGUCUUCACGGCUUCUGGUGUCAGCAGGAUCCUGAGCCUCCUGAUGAGGAAUGGAUGAAAAGGGCAGAAAGGCUUGCAGCCUAAUGGGGAAUGGCAAAGCAGAAUCUGCCAAGUGGUCUAGCCUGCUCUCGUGGUAAUAUUAGACAAAGCUUCAGUACCUGAAAGAGACUCCACACCUGCCUUUGAAACUGAAAGUAGCAUCUGUGGGCUGAGAAGACAGUGAGUACAUUUUUAGGAAGAUAAAAAAGGAUGGGUGAGACAGGAAAACUUUUCUGAAAGACAAAAUGAAGAGGUGGAUGAGUAGAAGACAGAGGAAGAAGAAGAAGAAGAAGAAGAAAAGAAGAAGAAGAAGAAGAAGAAGAAGAAAAGAAGAAGAAGAAGAAAAAAAAGAAGCAGCAGCAGCAUUGGAGUCUACCUUGAGAACCUGGAAACUGGAACUUGGGAAAAGAUCAACGCCGCAGUUAACACAAAAUGUGCAGAUAAAUGUUAGGGAAACUUCUCUGAGAUGCAAUGAUGCCUGGUACAAGCCUUCCUCUGCCAUCAACUGCUUUUGGGUGAUUUGCCAGUGGAUUGGACAUACAUGGGGCAGUCCUGGAGAGGGGUCAGCCCUGUGUAAUUGCCAGUGAUUUGCCAGUGGAUUGGACAUACAUGGGGCAGUCCUGGAGAGGGGUCAGCCCUGUGUAAUUGCCCUGUUUUUUGGCAUAAUUGCAUUUGAAAGGCAAAAAAUUAGGCCCUUCAAAAAUAGAGAAAAAAUUGCCCCUUCAAAUGGUAGUACAGAGAUCUGUGGCACAGGACUGUCUUAAAAGUGACCUGUACAGUUGUCUUGGGUAUAUAUUACAGCUGUACAUUGAACUACUCACAGAUGCAAGAUAUGCUACAAAUUUAUCACACCACAUGGUUCUGUGAUGCUGUAAGUACUUAUUAAUGCAAGUUGUUCUAAAUGACCUCUCAAAGAAAUAGGACUAACUUUCUUAAACAUUUUGAUGUUACACACAAAUACUGUAGUGCUGCAUAUGUAUAAAGUGUGCAUCCAUUUGCUGACUUUUUUUACAUUUAUUUUGUUAAAAUUAUGUGAAUGCUUCAUAUAGAUUCUUAAAUGAAUAUAUUCCAUCUUUAUACUAAUUUAUAAACUUUAUUAAUACAUUAAAUUUUGCUAGAUUUUUAUAUAUGUGCUCUUAUUAAGCUUAUAAAAUGAUAAAUUCAUUUUAAAAUGGCAGUUUCACUAGUGUAUCUUUUGUUGAACUUAAGACAGUGCAGAAGAUAGUAUACAUUUAAAAAGUCAAGGGGUAGCAUCUAAAUGUGUAUCCAUUACUGAAGUAACCCUUUUUAAAAAUCACAGCUGGCUUUCUAAUUGUCUCUGUGUUAGAUGCUAGAUAUUGUUAAAUAUUGUUUACCACAGAAUAGGUCCACUCAGGGUGUAAAAGGUGAAUGUGCGUCUUUCUCAAAGUCCCAUGCAAUAAUUCCUAUACCAACUCUGAAAAUGGAACUGAUAAUAUGUCAAUGAUUACAAUACAAAGAAGUUAAAUAUUACAACUAAUUUUCUCACUGAAAUAUAAUCCAGGGAUUAGCAACAAUGGCAAAUCUGGUUUAUUUGCAUUUAAUUUGUACCUUCACACUAUUAUCUCCCAUGUUUUAGUUUCAGGAAAUGUGGUUCAGACUAUUAUAACCACAUUUCAUGCUGCAGUUGCACUGUUUGAGCUCUAUGCUAAGAAAUGACUUAAAAAUUAAAGCCAGCAUACUUUAUUUUAAUUAUAUUAGAGCUGUGUCUAAGUGCAAAAAAAU
rnacentral:lncRNA from 1 species